rnacentral:tRNA from 1 species
UCCUGGGUGGCUUAGGUGGUAAAGAACCUGCCUGCAACGCAGGAGACACAGGUUCGAUCCCUGGGUUGGGAA